UGAGUAAAUCAGGUGAUCGCGGGUGCCGGUCAGGACGGCGCCUGAGGAAAGUCCGAGCUCCGCAGGGCAGGGUGCUGGGUAAUACCCAGUGGGGGCGACCCCAAGGAAAGUGCCACAGAAAUGCAGACCGCCCGGAACAGAAGCCGGAUGCCAAAUGCCGGAGGAUCUUUGGGCUGAAGGCAACUCCUUCCCCAAUUAGAUCUGCCGGCUGUCAGGCUCCCUGCUUUUGUUACGGGCAAGGGUGGAACGGUGCGGUAAGAGCGCACCAGCGGCCGGGCGACCGGCCGGCUAGGUAAACCCCACCUGGAGCAAGACCGAAUAGGGGAGCGUGUGCGGCGGCCCGUCGUUGCUCCCGGGUCAGGUCGCUAGAGGCGGCUGGCAACAGCCGUCCCAGAUAGAUGAUCACCCACGACAGAACUCGGCUUACGAUUUGCUCACUAU
rnacentral:RNase_P_RNA from 17 species